rnacentral:rRNA from 1 species
UCGGAACGUGAGUACAGUGGCGGACGGGUGAGUAACACGUGGGGAACCUGCCCUCAAGUCCGGAACAACCCGCCUAACGGCGGGCUAAUACCGAAUGUGGUUGUCAGUCCGCAUGGUAUGACAACUAAAGGUGGCCUCUCCUUGGAAGCUACCGCUUGUGGAUGGCCCCGCGCUCAAUUAGCUAGUUGGUAGGGUAACGGCCUACCAAGGCGACGAUUGAUAGCCGACCUGAGAGGGUGAUCGGCCACACUGGGAUUGAGAUAAGGCCCAGUCUCCUACGGGAGCCAGCAGUCUAGAAAUUUGGGCAAUGGGCGAAAGCCUGACCCACCGACGCCGCGUGGGGGAUGAAGCUUCUCGGAGUGUAAACCCCUGUUAGGUGGGACGAAAGCCCGUAUACGAAUAGUAGGCGGGUUUGACGGUACCACCAGAGGAAGCUCCGGCUAAACUCCGUGUCAGCAGCCGCGGUAAAUACGGGGGGGAGCAAAGCGUU